AAUUUGGAAUGCUGCCCUUAAAUUGCCUUUUUAACAAAAAAGGACACUUGGCAGAUUAUUGCUGACCAAAAAAGUAGUUAUAGUAGUAAAAAAAAGUGAUUUACAGUUUGUCAUCAUUAGAAUACAAUUUAAUAGUAAAAGAUUCAAGUAAACUUAAAUGUUCCACUGAUGGAACAGGUUAAUGUGCAAGGUAUACAUUCUGUUGUGUGUUCCCUGCGCUGGAAAUCACAGCCUUUUGUAUUGUUGAAGUACAGGAACACUUUAGGAAUAUUAUUGGUAGCGCACUGAUGAUGUGAUGGAGGAAAAUGUUGUACUAUGAUCUAAAUAUUUUUACACACCAGCGGAAGACAAGUAUCUCUACCUUAGUGACACUGCUUGUUUCUCAAUGUUAUAGAAAUAAAGUAAGCUACUUUUCUUUGUUUGUAUAUUGUAUGAUGAAUCCGUAUUUCAAUAACCUGUUACACGUCAACCCAGCCCAGCAGGUGGCGAUAUGCCCGUAUUUGUGCGAAUCGUUUAUAAACCAGAAGAAGAAUCUUGUUCACCAAGAUGCAUGAGCUCAGCUGUGCACAAAGCCACAAAGCACAUGAUUUGGAGUCAUUUGGCGUUUUUGAUGUGUUGUUAAAGACUUUCAUUUCAGGAAACUCUGUUUGAACCACAAAGUGUAUGAACUUACACUCUACAACAAGGCCUUGCCCCUUGUCGUCUUCAGUGGGAAAACGUUGGUGUCGUCUGAAAUAAAAAUGGAAAAAAUGUUCUUGUGCUUGGAGACUUUCUGUCUGUUGUCUGAUGGUGGUCUAUAAUUGCAAUUGAAUAUAACGUCAACUGGAAAAGUGGAUGCCAGUCCCUGUUUGUUCGGUCUAUAAUUCGACAAACCAAGGAUAAGACAUCUCAUGUGUCACCCAUAAGCCGAUGGAUGAAAAAGUGUUUUAAAGGUGUAGUUGAGAGUCAAAUGACUCAUGCAACUCAAUCCAAUAACCUCCUAAGAAAGAAGACGCUGUUCGGUCUUGUAAUUUGCAUUAUGUGGCUUCCACAGAUUGAGUCUACGAAGAAUUUGUAAUCUCCAUCAACUGAAUAGCCACUUGAAUAAGCGUCCGCUGUCGUGACUUUGUGAGCUCUGGAAGAAAAUUCUCAAACAGGUGUUUAUCUGUUAGGAUCAAGUGUUUCCCCAAUUUCAGCAUAAUUGAAAUGGACACACUCCAUCCCUGACAAGCAAUGUUUUAAUUGUCUUUCAACAAUUCCCGUGAUGUUGGGAGUGCUUGAUGUGCUUUUAGUCCCUCUGGGGGAUCAGUGAGUAAAGGUUUUGAGAAUAAGUGCUUUAUUUUCAUGUCAGAUGAUGUCGUCAUGCUGGCCCCAUCAGACCAGGACCUUCAACAUGCACUGGGACGGUUUGCAGCCGAGUGUGAAGCGGCUGGGAUGAGAAUCAGCACCUCCAAAUCUAAGGCCAUGGUUCUCAGUCGGAAAAGGGUGGCUUGCCCACUUCAGGUAGGUGGAGAGUUCCUGCCUCAAGUGGAGGAGUUCAAGUAUCUGGGGGUCUUGUUCACGAGUGAGGGAAGGAUGGAACAGGAGAUUGACAGACGGAUCGGCGCUGCUUCUGCAGUAAUGCGGUCGCUGUACGGAGCUGAGCCGCAAGGCGAAGCUCUCGAUUUACCGGUCAAUCUACGUUCCUUAUCUCACCUAUGGUCAUGAGCUGUGGGUCAUGACAGAAAGGACAAGAUCCCGGAUACAGGCGGCCAAAAUGAGCUUUCUCCGCACGGUGGCCAGGCGAUCCCUUAGAGAAGCUCGGUCACUCGGGAGGAGCUCAGAGUAGAUCCGCUGCUCCUCCACAUCGAGAGGGGCCAGAUGAGGUGGCUCGGGCAUCUUUUCCGGAUGCCCCCUGGACGCCUAGGGAAGACCUAGGACACGCUGUAGGGACUAUGUCUCCCGGCUGGCCUGGGAACCCCUCGCUGUCCCCCCGGAAGAGCUGGAGGAAGUGUCUAGGGUGAGGGAAGUCUGGGCAUCCCUGCUUAGACUGCUGCCCCCGCGACCCGGACGCCGGAUAAGCGGAAGAAGAUGGAUGGAUGGAUGGAUGCUUUAUUUUCCCUGUAUUGAUUCUGCAUAAACUUAUUAUUUGCCCAGUCAUUUCUCUUGUUCCAUAUGUAUGAUUUAUUCCCAAUUUAAUAAAACUGUUAAAGCCUCUUGUAAUUUUA